GAUGAACGCUGGCGGCGUGCCUAAUACAUGCAAGUCGAGCGAACGGACGAGAAGCUUGCUUCUCUGAUGUUAGCGGCGGACGGGUGAGUAACACGUGGAUAACCUACCUAUAAGACUGGGAUAACUUCGGGAAACCGGAGCUAAUACCGGAUAAUAUUUUGAACCGCAUGGUUCAAAAGUGAAAGACGGUCUUGCUGUCACUUAUAGAUGGAUCCGCGCUGCAUUAGCUAGUUGGUAAGGUAACGGCUUACCAAGGCAACGAUGCAUAGCCGACCUGAGAGGGUGAUCGGCCACACUGGAACUGAGAAACGGUCCAGACUCCUACGGGAGGCAGCAGUAGGGAAUCUUCCGCAAUGGGCGAAAGCCUGACGGAGCAACGCCGCGUGAGUGAUGAAGGUCUUCGGAUCGUAAAACUCUGUUAUUAGGGAAGAACAUAUGUGUAAGUAAAUGUGCACAUCUUGACGGUACCUAAUCAGAAAGCCACGGCUAACUACGUG
rnacentral:rRNA from 1 species